rnacentral:rRNA from 1 species
AGAGUUUGAUCAUGGCUCAGGACGAACGCUGGCGGCGCGCCUAACACAUGCAAGUCGAACGGUUCUGAUUGCGAGACUAAGCUAAUUGGUGGUUCAUAUUGGCUUGGUCUUGUAAUCAGGAUAGUGGCGGACGGGUGAGUAACACGUGAGCAACCUGCCUAACGGAAUGGGAUAGCGUUUGGAAACGAACGGUAAUACCGUAUAACAUAUGCAAUGCGCAUGCACAGCAUAUCAAAGGAGCAAUCCGCCGUUAGAUGGGCUCGCGGCCAAUUAGGUAGUUGGCGGGGUAACGGCCCACCAAGCCGACGAUUGGUAGCCGGACUGAGAGGUUGAUCGGUCACAUUGGGACUGAGACACGGCCCAGACUCCUACGGGAGGCAGCAGUGGGGGAUAUUGCACAAUGGAGGAAACUCUGAUGCAGCGACGCCGCGUGAGGGAAGACGGUCUUCGGAUUGUAAACCUCUGUCUUAGGGGAAGAGUAAAAGACGGUACCCUAGGAGGAAGCCACGGCUAACUACGUGCCAGCAGCCGCGGUAAUACGUAGGUGGCAAGCGUUGUCCGGAAUUACUGGGUGUAAAGGGAGUGUAGGCGGGUGCUUAAGUCGAUUGUAAAAGUGCACGGCUCAACUGUGUGAUGCGAUCGAAACUGAGUAUCUUGAGUGAAGGAGAGGCAGUUGGAAUUCCUAGUGUAGCGGUGGAAUGCGUAGAUAUUAGGAGGAACACCAGUGGCGAAGGCGGACUGCUGGACUUUAACUGACGCUGAGGCUCGAAAGCAUGGGUAGCAAACAGGAUUAGAUACCCUGGUAGUCCAUGCUGUAAACGAUGAUUACUAGGUGUGGGCGUGAGGAGCGUCUGUGCAGGAGUAAACACAAUAAGUAAUCCACCUGGGGAGUACGACCGCAAGGUUGAAACUCAAAGGAAUUGACGGGGGUCCGCACAAGCAGUGGAGUAUGUGGUUUAAUUCGAAGCAACACGAAGAACCUUACCAGGUCUUGACAUCCAUAUAAUUCUAAAGAGAUUUGGAAGUGCCCCUUUUAGCGUCAGCUCGUGUCGUGAGAUGUUGGGUUAAGUCCCGCAACGAGCGCAACCCUUGCAACUAGUUACUACGCAAGAGGACUCUAGUAGGACUGCCGUUGAUAAAACGGAGGAAGGUGGGGAUGACGUCAAAUCAUCAUGCCCUUUAUGACCUGGGCUACACACGUACUACAAUGGCCGUAACAGAAGGACGCAAAGUUGCGAAACGGAGCAAAUCGAAAAAAGCGGUCACAGUUCAGAUUGUAGGCUGCAACUCGCCUACAUGAAGAUGGAAUUGCUAGUAAUCGCAGAUCAGAAAGCUGCGGUGAAUACGUUCCCGGGCCUUGUACACACCGCCCGUCACACCAUGAGAGCUGGUAACACCUGAAGUCAGUGUCAUAACCGCAAGGAGUGAGCUGCCGAAGGUGGGAUUGGUAAUUGGGGUGAAGUCGUAACAAGGUAGCC